rnacentral:rRNA from 1 species
GAUGAACGCUAGCUACAGGCUUAACACAUGCAAGUCGAGGGGAAACGACAUCGAAAGCUUGCUUUUGAUGGGCGUCGACCGGCGCACGGGUGAGUAACGCGUAUCCAACCUGCCCAUCACUUGGGAAUAACCUUGCGAAAGUAAGACUAAUACCCAAUGACAUCCCACGAAGACAUCUGAAUGGGAUUAAAGAUUUAUCGGUGAUGGAUGGGGAUGCGUCUGAUUAGCUUGUUGGCGGGGUAACGGCCCACCAAGGCAACGAUCAGUAGGGGUUCUGAGAGGAAGGGCACCCACAGUGGAACUGAGACAAGGUCCAAACACCUACGGGAGGCAGCAGUGAGGAAUAUUGGUCAAGGGGCGAGAGCCUGAACCAGCCAAGUAGCGUGCAGGAUGACGGCCCUAUGGGUUGUAAACUGCUUUUAUAAGGGAAUAAAGUGGGUCUCGUGAGACUUUUUGCAUGUACCUUAUGAAUAAGGACCGGCUAAUUACGUG